UGCAUUUGAAUGGGGACAUAUGGUUGAACCCCUUUAUCCAUGGUUUGAAACCCCCCUUUUAGAAACGGCUGAAUCCGCCCUUGAGGUCACACUCCUAUAGCCUAUCCACAUGGGUAAUAUCGAAAUAAAAAAUAUAUCAUUACUUAAAAGAAAAAAAAACAUUCAUUCAAACAAUCCAAUCCAAUACAGCUCCAAAUAACAAUGAAUAUUCAAAUGGUAAAAUAAAUAUUCCAAACAAAUUAAAAUGUACAAAUGCUGAUGUUCCUAAC
rnacentral:lncRNA from 1 species